rnacentral:rRNA from 1 species
ACCCGCACAAGCGGUGAUGAUGUGGAUUAAUUCGAUGCAACGCGAAGAACCUUACCUACCCUUGACAUGUCCGGAACUUGCCAGAGAUGGCUUGGUGCCCGAAAGGGAAUCGGAACACAGGUGCUGCAUGGCUGUCGUCAGCUCGUGUCGUGAGAUGUUGGGUUAAGUCCCGCAACGAGCGCAACCCUUGUCAUUAGUUGCUACGAAAGGGCACUCUAAUGAGACUGCCGGUGACAAACCGGAGGAAGGUGGGGAUGACGUCAAGUCCUCAUGGCCCUUAUAGGUGGGGCUACACACGUCAUACAAUGGCUGGUACAAAGGGUUGCCAACCCGCGAGGGGGAGCCAAUCCCAUAAAGCCAGUCGUAGUCCGGAUCGCAGUCUGCAACUCGACUGCGUGAAGUCGGAAUCGCUAGUAAUCGUGGAUCAGCAUGUCACGGUGAAUACGUUCCCGGGUCUU